rnacentral:rRNA from 1 species
CGCCUUAUUUGAUUUUCUUCGGAACUGAAGAUUUGGUGACUGAGUGGCGGACGGGUGAGUAACGCGUGGGUAACCUACCCUGUACAGGGGGAUAACAAUCAGAAAUGACUGCUAAUACCGCAUAAGACCACAGCACCGCAUGGUGCAGGGGUAAAAAUUCCGGUGGUACCGGACGGACCCGCGUCUGAUUAGCUGGUUGGUGAGGUAACGGCUCACCAAGGCGACGAUCAGUAGCCGGCUUGAGAGAGUGAACGGCCACAUUGGGACUGAGACACGGCCCAAACUCC